GAUCCUGGCUCAGGAUGAACGCUAGCGACAGGCCUAACACAUGCAAGCCGAGGGGUAACAUGAGUGCUUGCACUUGAUGACGACCGGCGCACGGGUGCGUAACGCGUAUGCAACUUACCUUGUACUGGGGAAUAGCCCGUGGAAACGCGGAUUAAUGUCCCAUAACACUACAAUUUCGCAUGGAAAAGUGGUUAAAGUUCCGACGGUACAAGAUGGGCAUGCGUGACAUUAGCUAGUUGGUGAGGUAAUGGCUCACCAAGGCGACGAUGUCUAGGGGUUCUGAGAGGAAGGUCCCCCACACUGGUACUGAGACACGGACCAGACUCCUACGGGAGGCAGCAGUGAGGAAUAUUGGUCAAUGGGCGCAAGCCUGAACCAGCCAUGUCGCGUGCAGGAAGACUGCCCUACGGGUUGUAAACUGCUUUUGUAUGGGAGGAAACGUUGGUACGUGUACCAAUUUGCCGGUACCAUACGAAUAAGGAUCGGCUAACUCCGUGCCAGCAGCCGUGGUAAUACGGAGGAUCCAAGCGUUAUCCGGAUUUAUUGGGUUUAAAGGGUGCGUAGGCGGUAGAAUAAGUCAGUGGUGAAAUCCUGCAGCUUAACUGUAGAACUGCCAUUGAUACUGUUUUACUUGAGUGUAAUUGAGGUAGGCGGAAUGUGUUGUGUAGCGGUGAAAUGCAUAGAUAUAACACAGAACACCGAUUGCGAAGGCAGCUUACUAAGUUAUAACUGACGCUGAUGCACGAAAGCGUGGGUAGCGAACAGGAUUAGAUACCCUGGUAGUCCACGCCGUAAACGAUGAUUACUCGCUGUAGGCAAUACACCGUCUGUGGCUGAGCGAAAGCAUUAAGUAAUCCACCUGGGGAGUACGCUGGCAACAAUGAAACUCAAAGGAAUUGACGGGGGCCCGCACAAGCGGAGGAACAUGUGGUUUAAUUCGAUGAUACGCGAGGAACCUUACCUGGACUUAAAUGUAGAUUGACGUAUCCAGAGAUGGAUAUUUCUUCGGACAACUUACAAGGUGCUGCAUGGUUGUCGUCAGCUCGUGCCGUGAGGUGUCGGGUUAAGUCCCAUAACGAGCGCAACCCCUGUUGUUAGUUACCAGCACAUCAUGGUGGGGACUCUAACAAGACUGCCGGUGUAAACCGCGAGGAAGGUGGGGAUGACGUCAAAUCAGCACGGCCCUUACGUCCAGGGCUACACACGUGUUACAAUGGCCGGUACAGAGGGCAGCUACUUGGUGACAAGAUGCGAAUCUCAAAAACCGGUCUCAGUUCGGAUCGAAGUCUGCAACCCGACUUCGUGAAGCUGGAUUCGCUAGUAAUCGCAUAUCAGCUAUGAUGCGGUGAAUACGUUCCCGGGCCUUGUACACACCGCCCGU
rnacentral:rRNA from 1 species